UAAUAGUGUAUAUUAAAGUUGUUGCAGUUAAAAAGCUCGUAGUUGAAUGUUGGUGUCGAACGAGCGGUCAGCUUCGGCUGUACUGCUCUCUCGACUCCUUCCUUCUGUGGACCACGUCGCACUUUACUGUGUGGCGCUAGGACGCAGAUCGUUUACUGUGAAAAAAUUAGAGUGUUCAAAGCAGGCCGUACGCUUGAAUACAUUAGCAUGGAAUAAUGGAAUAGGACGUCGGGCCUAUUUUGUUGGUUCUAGGACCGUCGUAAUGAUUAAUAGGGACAGUUGGGGCCGUUUAUAUUCCGUAGUCAGAGGUGAAAUUCUUGGAUUUACGGAAGAUAAACUACUGCGAAAGCAUUCGGCAAGGAUGUUUUCGUUAA
rnacentral:rRNA from 1 species